rnacentral:rRNA from 1 species
AAAUGAAUAGACGGGGACCCGCACAAGCAGCGGAGCAUGUGGUUUAAUUCGAAGCAACGCGAAGAACCUUACCAGGACUUGACAUCCCGAUGAAACUCGCUUAACCGUGAGCCCUCUUCGGAGCAUCGGUGACAGGUGGUGCAUGGUUGUCGUCAGCUCGUGUCGUGAGAUGUUGGGUUAAGUCCCGCAACGAGCGCAACCCUUGCUGUUAGUUGCCAUCAUUAAGUUGGGCACUCUAACGGGACUGCCGGGGAUAACUCGGAGGAAGGUGGGGAUGACGUCAAAUCAUCAUGCCCCUUAUGUUCUGGGCUACACACGUGCUACAAUGGUCGGUACAAAGAGCAGCAAGACCGUGAGGUGGAGCAAAUCUCAAAAACCGAUCCCAGUUCGGAUUGUAGGCUGCAACUCGCCUACAUGAAGUUGGAGUUGCUAGUAAUCGUGGAUCAGAAUGCCACGGUGAAUGCGUUCCCGGGUCUUGUACACACCGCCCGU